UUGAUCCUGGCUCAGAACGAACGCUGGCGGCGUGCCUAACACAUGCAAGUCGAGCGCGAAUAGGGGCAACCCUUAGUAGAGCGGCGCACGGGUGCGUAACACGUGGAUAAUCUGCCUGGAUGCCUGGGAUAACCAGUCGAAAGACUGGCUAAUACCGGAUAAGCCCACGGUUUCUUCGGAGACUGAGGGAAAAGGUGGCCUCUGUAUACAAGCUAUCACAACCAGAUGAGUCCGCGGCCCAUCAGCUAGUUGGCGGGGUAAUGGCCCACCAAGGCGACGACGGGUAGCUGGUCUGAGAGGACGAUCAGCCACACUGGAACUGAGACACGGUCCAGACUCCUACGGGAGGCAGCAGUGGGGAAUUUUGCGCAAUGGGCGAAAGCCUGACGCAGCAACGCCGCGUGUGUGAUGAAGGUCUUUGGAUUGUAAAGCACUUUCGACCGGGACGAAACCGUAAAGCCUAAUACGCUUUGCCUUGACGGUACCGGGAGAAGAAGCACCGGCUAACUCUGUGCCAGCAGCCGCGGUAAUACAGAGGGUGCAAGCGUUGUUCGGAAUUAUUGGGCGUAAAGCGCGUGUAGGCGCUUGCAAGUCGGGUGUGAAAGCCCUCAGCUCAACUGAGGAAGUGCGCCCGAAACUGCAGAGCUUGAGUGCCGGAGAGGGUGGCGGAAUUCCCCAAGUAGAGGUGAAAUUCGUAGAUAUGGGGAGGAACACCGGUGGCGAAGGCGGCCACCUGGACGGUAACUGACGCUGAGACGCGAAAGCGUGGGUAGCAAACAGGAUUAGAUACCCUGGUAGUCCACGCCGUAAACGAUGAGAACUAGGUGUCGUGGGAGUUGACCCCCGCGGUGCCGUAGCUAACGCAUUAAGUUCUCCGC
rnacentral:rRNA from 1 species